rnacentral:lncRNA from 1 species
ACAAGAUCAUCUCAGCAACCCUGAACCCCAUAGAGGACUAUAGGCAUUGUUCACAGAGAUGACACUGAACUGUAUCUGGCAAGUUCCUUGGAAAAAAAACAUCACUGCUAACCAAACCAGCGGCAUCCAUCUCUCCAGCAGGAAAGCAGUUCCCACCUCCCAGGACAACUCUGAGCCUUGCUUCCUGGUGAAGAUAAAGAAAACUGAAUUUUGACAAAACAGAAGAAGUACGAAGCUGCUUGAACUUCUGCAAUUUUAUAAAGACACAUGUUCAAAAUUUAAAUUAUGGGAGUGACUUCUCCUUUUUUUUCUCCCUUUUGGGAACCAAAUAAAGCAUUUGCUUUAUUUGCUGCAGGGUGAAAGAGUUGUCUUGACAAGGUACCAGGGUGAGGUCAAGUGUGAACGCCACAGUGCUCAGGCAGCUUCCUGAAGGUGUCUCAGGCAUCAAAGUGACAGGAGGAAAUCACUGGAGUGUGACAUCGUUUCAGAGAAAAUGCACCAAGACUUCCUUCUGAGGAAAACUUGUAAGAAGUGCAAAGAAAAGAAGGGGACGCUCUGGGGCAGGUGUCUUUCAUAGAUGAUUGUUAAACAUCGUUUGCCACAUCCUUACCUGCACUGGGUAUUUUCACUUAACGGAAUGAAAUAAAUUCUCUCCACUGCCUUAUCAGGCAAAAGAAAUAUCUCAUUUUCAUUAACAUUUCUCUUGUUACUAUUGUGAUUAGUAUUUUUAUAUUAAUGGCUAUUGAAUUUCCUCUAUGACCUUUCUAUUUAUAUCUCUGUUCAUUUCAAAAACAGUUGGGUAUAUGGAGUAAUUAUGUGAUAGGAAAAUCUCAGUGGUUUUCUUAUUGAUUUUGUAAGAUUGCCUUAUGUGUUAGGGGUUUUGACCUUUGGCAUCUUUGUCUUAAUUUUUAGUUUUGGUGGGUUUGUUUUUGUUUUUGAUUUUUGCAUAACAUCUUUGUAUCACAUGCUUUGCAUUGUGUGUCAUUCUACAAGCAGGCACAUUUCUCCCUCAGUAAAAUACUUCUCUUUUUUGAAAUUUACUUAGACUGUCUCACACCUUGUAUCUCCAAGUGAAUUUUAGAUUAGUUAAAUCAAGAACCAAGACAAAAUGCUCUGGAGGUUGAACAAAAGCUACAAAGUAAUUUGGUGCUGGCUUUCCAAGUCUCUAGUCAAAAUCAUUUCACUGGGCCUGUUUUCCCCCUGUUGAACUGACCACAUCAUGCAGCUCCUGUCCCAUCCUGGUACACAGAAGGCUCCAGUGCCUGUGGGGGUGGCAGGUGCUUCUUCCAGU